rnacentral:lncRNA from 1 species
GGCUCUGACGGAAUGAUCUCAGUGUUCUGUUCUCUAGCCAGAAAGGACGUGAAAGCGGAUGUGAAGGAUGGCAAGGUUGUGAAUGGGAUGCAGAAGCUAGAAGCAAUUCUACGUACGGUGAACCUGCCCUCUCAGAACUUAAAGUCGAGAGCACACCUAGCAAAUGUGGAAACAAACACAGAACAAAUUCACAACAGAAACCAUCACGAUCAUCGACUCCAAGAUCCCUAACGGGAAGGAGCCUCAAGAAAGCUCUGGAUCCAGUCACUCACUGCCUUCAUGAAGGCCAAGAAGUAAUGUGCCCAUUUUACAGAUGCAACAAAUGAGGCCUCAUAAGUUGUCGACUUUCCAACUGUCACACAGUGAGUAUAGAAUAAGAAGGACUUAAACUCAGGUUUAAUGUCUUCUGUUACUUAACAUGACAUAUGGGUCAGAGCAUCCAAAGGCAUGGAAGACAAGACUAGACAAGGAGAGGGGUAACUUCUCUUUACGAGGUGGGGGCACAGGGGACUCAGGUCUGGAGAGGACCAACAAGAGAGAUCAGAAAGGGGAGGCGGCCCUGCUGGGGGCUGGGGAGGAACAGGGCGGCAGUUCCUGGUUGCUAUAGUAUCUUUGUCGUCAAGAACAAGGGAUAAUUUGAUUGAGCCGAUGAGUCACCUGGCAUUUGAGGCGUAAGGCCAACCUACCAGGACCAUCCUCCUGACCCUAUUAGACGAGGCCUGGUGCAGGAGAACGGGAAGCAGGGAG